rnacentral:lncRNA from 1 species
GACCAGCACGUGAGGUUAGUAAUUGAUAAUUUCUGGGUUUCUACGUGGGAAACCACGAUAUUAUUCUUUCGAUAAGUUUGUGUCUCGUGAAGAUAUUU